rnacentral:rRNA from 1 species
UACGUAGGGCGCAAGCGUUGUCCGGAAUUAUUGGGCGUAAAGAGCUCGUAGGCGGCCAGUUGCGUCUGCUGUGAAAUCCCGGGGCUCAACCCCGGGCUUGCAGUGGAUACGGGCUGGCUGGAGGCAGGCAGGGGAGAACGGAAUUCCUGGUGUAGCGGUGAAAUGCGCAGAUAUCAGGAGGAACACCGGUGGCGAAGGCGGUUCUCUGGGCCUGUACUGACGCUGAGGAGCGAAAGCGUGGGGAGCGAACAGG